GUCUUUCCCGGUCCUUUCCUUCCCCACCAGUUUGUCUUUUCCUCUGUAAAGAGAUGACAAAACUUCAGAAAGAGACAGGAGGGCAGGAAUUUCCAGGACUGCAGUGGAUAAAUCUAGUCACCAGAGGAAUGAAAUCCAUCCACUCUUAUUGAAGCUUUGGGAUCAAGAGAAAGAACAAAUUCCUCUUCUGCCACCACAAGGAUGAUAGCGUCCAACUUUUCAGAAAGUUGAUUCCUGCUGCCUUUUAUUCUUUGCCUGGCCAAUACUCCUGGAACCAUAGAGGAGUCAUCCACAGAUCCACCUUGGCUCGCACCUGGACUCCUCUGGAUAUCACUA